GACGAGGAUGUGAUCCCUCCUAACAUAACAAAUCUAGAUAACCAUUUAUCUAAAUUCGUUGUAUUAAGAGAGGGUUAACCCUUGUA
rnacentral:pre_miRNA from 1 species